rnacentral:rRNA from 1 species
AUUGAACGCUGGCGGCAGGCUUAACACAUGCAAGUCGAACGAGUGGCGGACGGGUGAGUAAUGCUUGGGAAUCUGGAUUAUGGAGGGGGAUAACUAAGGGAAACUGUAGCUAAUCACGCGUACCAUAGGAGGGGCCCAAGUGGGAUUAGGUCUUUGGUGUGGUAAAGGAUCACAAAUACGACGAUCACUAGCUGGUCUGAGAGGAUGACCAUCCACACUGGGACUGAGACACGUCCCAGACUCCGACGGGAGGCAGCAGUGGGGAAUAUUGCGCAAUGGGGGCAACCUGACGCAGCCAUGCCGCGUGAAUGAAGAAGGCCUUCGGGUUGUAAAGUUCUUUCGGUAGCGAGGCGUUAACUACAGAAGAAGCACCGGCUAACUCCGUGCCAGCAGCCGCGGUAAUAC